rnacentral:rRNA from 1 species
AACGAACGCUGGCGGCGUGCCUAACACAUGCAAGUCGAACGAGAUCUUCGGGUCUAGUGGCGCACGGGUGCGUAACGCGUGGGAAUCUGCCCUUUGGUUCGGAAUAACAGUUGGAAACGACUGCUAAUACUGGAUGAUGACGAAAGUCCAAAGAUUUAUCGCCAGAGGAUGAGCCCGCGUAGGAUUAGCUAGUUGGUGUGGUAAAGGCGCACCAAGGCGACGAUCCUUAGCCGGUCUGAGAGGAUGAUCAGCCACACUGGGACUGAGACACGGCCCAGACUCCUACGGGAGGCAGCAGUGGGGAAUAUUGGACAAUGGGCGAAAGCCUGAUCCAGCAAUGCCGCGUGAGUGAUGAAGGCCUUAGGGUUGUAAAGCUCUUUUACCCGGGAUGAUAAUGACAGUACCGGGAGAAUAAGCUCCGGCCAACUCCGUGCCAGCCGCCGCAGUAA